GGGACGGGGGGGGUAGGUGGCUGGUGCUCUUGUAUCCCGGGCCACCCGAUGCGUGGGGGCCAGUCCGGGGCUGGAGCCCUGUGGGACCCGCAGCCAGGAGCAGGAUGUCCUUGUGUCCUCAGUGAGAAAAUUGCAAUGUGGCUGUUUUCAGACUGCUGCUGGAUGGCCCGGCCUAGACCACCGUGCCUCCAGGGCAAUCCGGUCACAUCUGUGUCCUCUGCUCAGCAGGCCAUCUUCGACCGUUUGGGCUGCCAUGACAGAAGACCACGGACCGGGGGCUUGUAAGCCACGGAGAGUUAUUGUUCACGGUUCUGGAGGCACCAGCAGAUGCGGCGUCUGGUGGGGCCUGCUUGCCUCUUAGCUCAGAGACACCAUCUCCUCGCUUUUCCCCCCAUGCUGGAAGGGGCGAGAGCUCUCCCGGGGCUCUUUCAUAAGGGCAUUAAUCCAGGUGGCCGGGGGGGGGGGGUCGGUGCUCAGUCGACUCUUGGCUUUGGCUCAGGUCACGAUCUCGGGGUACGUGGGAUCGAGCUCCAAGUCGGGCUCUGCUCUGACAGCUGGGAGCCUGCUUGGGAUUCUCUCUCUGCCCCUCCCACACUUGUGCACGUGAGGGCGCGCGCGCUCUCAAAAUAAACAUUGAAAAUAAAACAAAAUCUUUAGGCGUGUCUGGGUGACCCAGUCAGUUGAGCGAUCGACUUCAGCUCAGGUCAUCAUCUCGUGGUUCGUGAGUUCGAGCCCCGCGUGGGGCUCUGUGCUGACAGCUCAGAGCCUGGAGCCUGCUUCGGAUUCUGUGUCUCCCUCUAUCUCUGCUCUCUCUCUCUCAAAAACAAAUAAACCUUAAAAAAUUAAAUAAAACCUUUUUAAAAAUCUUCUUUUGAAUGAUAAAAGACACGCCUGUGACUUGGGAAAUCCCAAGGGUUUUAAGAGCUCCGUACCAGGAACUGGGGACAGAGACCAAAUAUAUUUCUCAUCAAACCACAGGGACCUUGUUUGGAAAUAAGGGCUUUGCAGAUGUAAUUCAGGUAAGGGCAGGGAUGAGAUCAUACUGCAUUGGGGAGGGGGGUGGGCUAAAUCCAGGCGAAGUGUCCUCGUAAGAGAAAGAGACACAGGGACAAGGCCAGGUGAAGACAGAGACAGAGGCACAGUGAUGUAGCCACAAGUCAAGGAACGCCUAAGGGUUGCCAGCAACCACCGAGAGCUGGACGGGAGAUAUGGAUGGACAGCUUCUCCUUCAGGACCUUCGGUGAGAGCCGCCCCGCCCAUACCUUGACUUCCGGACUUCUUGCCUCCUGAGUUGUGAGACAAGAAAUUUCUGUUGUUUUAAGCCACUCAGUCUGCGGCGGUUCGUUACAGCUCUCCUAGGAGAGUAAUAUUGCUACUAUUUAAUGUUUUUAAAGCCAUCUGUUCUCCUUUUUCUACUUAUGUGUGUUUUUUAAUCAUUUUUUUUUAAAGAAUUUUCUUUUUUUGAAACAGCGCAUUUAUUUCGCGCGCGUAAGAGAGAGCGCACGAGCCGGAGAGGGGCAGAGAGAGAGAGGGAGAGAGAGAAUCCCAAGCAAGCUCCCCGUGGUCAGCGAGGAGCCCGACACAGGGCUGGAACUCACGAACUGUGAGAUCGUGACCCGAGGUGAAAUCAAGAGUCCGAUGCUUGACGGACUGAGCCACCCAGGUGCCCCUCCCUUUGUGUGUUUCACCACUCUAAGCACCGGUCUCUAAGAUGCUGGCGUUGCUCUGUAGGUGAGGCUUUUCCAAAUGCAAGGUGACAUAAGACACGGGCUGAGCGUCGUGUCCUCGUCCUCCUCCUUCCGGUUGC